rnacentral:rRNA from 1 species
AAAUUGAAGAGUUUGAUCAUGGCUCAGAUUGAACGCUGGCGGCAGGCCUAACACAUGCAAGUCGAACGGUAACAGGAAGCAGCUUGCUGUUUCGCUGACGAGUGGCGGACGGGUGAGUAAUGUCUGGGAAAC